rnacentral:lncRNA from 1 species
CUUCCAAAGUCUAAUUCAUAUCUGAAAAAUCUGCAUAUUCAAACUUUGAAAGACUUUCUGAAGACUUCGUGGGACGUCUUCUAGCAUAAAAUGCAUUAGAAGACUUCUUAGAAGUCUUCCAAAGUCUGAUUUAGAUCUGAAAAUUUUAUAUAUUCAAAAGCAUUCAAAUAGCUUUAAAACAGAGAAAACUUCAAAAACACUUUUUUAUACUUAAUAAUAAACAAAAAAUUGUCAGAUUAGGUUGAAUUUAUAACUUUUUAGAAUCCGAUAUAUUAAACACAAAAAAUACAUAUCCAAAAUUUGUACCACUUUGGGCAGAACACUUCCUGAAGACUUCGUAGAAAGUUUUCUAGCAUAAAAUGCAU